GGGCUUUUGCCCCUAUUAAUUCUCCGCCCAAAUCAGCAUCAUUAAGUCUGGUCAGUGGUGGAUACCUGUGGAGGGUCUCUGAACGUCUCAUGAUAAUCUGGAGCACCCAGGCCUCUGACGAACACUGAUGGAGACAAGCCACGUACAGUGCCUAUAUCAGUUUAUAGGAGCACCACCCCACUGGAGAGACCCUGCCUUGGAGGCUGGGAGGUUGGAUGCGAGGACCUCUCUGCCUGAUUCUGAGGCUGACUAUUCGGGGAACCCCUUGUUUCAGGAUGCUG